UAUGACUUUAAGCAAUGGUGUUUGGGCUGCCGCUCUGUUUGUGACCAUCUGUUCUCUAAUUUCCCGUAAAGAGCUCAUGCUAGCCUCGUCUCUCCUCUGACUACAGCUGCUUUCAUGGAUGGCUGGCUGGCUUAUUUCAAACCUCUAAAUGCAUUAGAACCAACAUUUAUGAAAGACGUGCACUUGGUAGCCCUGAAGAAGGUCAUCUCUCACUAAAAGAAAGUUUGAGUCAUGGUCUGGCCACGGCUUUUGCUCACGCCACGCACCUGCCUACCUCAGCUUCAGGAGUUUUGGAUUUCUUACCACUCACCACUCUCUCCUCCACACUAUUGAUCCACCUGUGUCAUUGACUCUGAUCCCCUGGACCCUGCCAUCCAAUCUGAUGCCCCUUUUGGUCCCAAAAUCGCAGAACUGCAGUUUCCACUGUUAAAGUUUCUCUUGUUGUUUGCAUAGUUGCAUAAGUGCUCC